rfam:Rattus norvegicus chromosome 5, whole genome shotgun sequence.
GGGGAUUUAGCUCAGUGGUAGAGCGCUUGCCUAGCAAGCACAAGGGCCUGGGUUCGGUCCCCAGCUCCA